UACGAAGGGGGCUAGCGUUGCUCGGAAUCACUGGGCGUAAAGCGCACGUAGGCGGAUUGUUAAGUCAGGGGUGAAAUCCCGGAGCUCAACUCCGGAACUGCCUUUGAUACUGGCGAUCUUGAGUCCGGGAGAGGUGAGUGGAACUGCGAGUGUAGAGGUGAAAUUCGUAGAUAUUCGCAAGAACACCAGUGGCGAAGGCGGCUCACUGGCCCGGUACUGACGCUGAGGCGCGAAAGCGUGGGGAGCGAACAGG
rnacentral:rRNA from 1 species